rnacentral:tRNA from 1 species
UUCCUAGUGGUCUAGUGGUUAGGAUUGGGUACUUCCAUUGCUGUGGCCCGGGUUCAAUCCCUGGCUGGGGAA